rnacentral:rRNA from 1 species
UACGUAGGCAGCAAGCGUUGUUCGGAGUUACUGGGCGUAAAGGGGGCGUAGGUGGCUCUAUAAGUAUGGUGUGAAAUCUCCCGGCUUAACUGGGAGGGUGCGCCGUAGACUGUGGGGCUAGAGUGUGGGAGAGGAAAGUGGAAUUCCUGGUGUAGCGGUGAAAUGCGUAGAUAUCAGGAGGAACACCGGUGGUGUAAACGGCUUUCUGGACCAUAACUGACACUGAGGCACGAAAGCGUGGGUAGCAAACAGG